AUUGAACGCUGGCGGCAGGCCUAACACAUGCAAGUCGAGCGGAUGAAUGAAGCUUGCUCCUGGAUUCAGCGGCGGACGGGUGGGUAAUGCCUAGGAAUCUGCCUUGUAGUGGGGGAUAACGUCCGGAAACGGGCGCUAAUACCGCAUACGUCCUGAUGGAGAAAGUGGGGGAUCUUCGGACCUCACGCUAUCAGAUGAGCCUAGGUCGGAUUAGCUAGUUGGUUGGGUAAAGGCUUACCAAGGCGACGAUCCGUAACUGGUCUGAGAGGAUGAUCAGUCACACUGGAACUGAGACACGGUCCAGACUCCUACGGGAGGCAGCAGUGGGGAAUAUUGGACAAUGGGCGAAAGCCUGAUCCAGCCAUGCCGCGUGUGUGAAGAAGGUCUUCGGAUUGUAAAGCACUUUAAGUUGGGAGGAAGGGAAGUAAGUUAAUACCUUGCUGUUUUGACGUUACCAACAGAAUAAGCACCGGCUAACUUCGUG
rnacentral:rRNA from 1 species